UUUUUUGUUUUUCUUAUGAGGGAAAUUCUACAGCUGUAUUAUUCCGUAAUAACUGUUGGAAUAUUGAAUAUUAACAUAUCUUUCUCGUUAUGUUGGAAAAUUGGAAUGCAAGACUCAUUUCUGAUUACAAAUAGAAAUUCUGGUAUUUAGCGUUUGUGUUUUUUACACAAUUACAGAUAGUUUGAGGCCUCUACGUUUGUUUGUCGAUAGUUGAUUGUUGCUUUACGUGUGUCAUGCAUGUUUAGGACAAGAAUAUAUCAUCAGCUUAUAUACAAUAGGUUAGUUCUGAAGAAGUCGAUCGGGAUAUGAGGUGUAACCAAUCGAACCGUUCGGAGAGUUGUUACAAGGAUUCACCGACGUUCAGAGGAUCGUUUGACUUUGCUAAGUUUCUUAAAUUAGAAAGAGUUAAUCGUUGCUGCAUAUAUAAAUUUGAUUUUACUUUGUUGAUAUUUUUUUAAUUCUCCUGACUUCCAGCAGAUAUAUAUUGAGAGAAUUUGCGUGUUCGAGUGACGUAUACAGCUAGUAGUGAAAUGAUUGAGGUUUGUGCAUGAGCAAUACUUCCGAGUCAUUGAUUCACGCUGUUCUCGUAGCUUGCUGUACUUAAAUAAAUGAUAGUAUCAUAGGGUAUUUUUGUUUUAAUUUUAGUUUUUUUUAUGAAUUCUUUUAACACAUUUUCUUUUCCACGUAUAAAAGGGAGAUAUUCAUUGGUAUGAUGAGAAUGAAUUUUUAGUAAAU
rnacentral:lncRNA from 1 species